rnacentral:rRNA from 1 species
CCUACGUGAGGCAGCAGUGAGGAAUAUUGGUCAAUGGGCGCGAGCCUGAACCAGCCAAGUCGCGUGAGGGAGGACGGCCCUACGGGUUGUAAACCUCUUUUGCCGGGGAGCAACGGGCGUCACGUGUGGCGCCACUGAGAGUACCCGGAGAAAAAGCAUCGGCUAACUCCGUGCCAGCAGCCGCGGUAAUACGGAGGAUCCGAGCGUUAUCCGGAUUUAUUGGGUUUAAAGGGAGCGUAGAUGGGUUGUUAAGUCAGUUGUGAAAGUUUGCGGCUCAACCGUAAAAUUGCAAUUGAUACUGGCAGCCUUGAGUACAGUUGAGGUAGGCGGAAUUCGUGGUGUAGCGGUGAAAUGCUUAGAUAUCACGAAGAACUCCGAUUGCGAAGGCAGCUUACUAAACUGCCACUGACAUUGAUGCUCGAAAGUGUGGGUAUCAAACAGGAUUAGAUACCCUAGUAGUC